GACGAACGCUGGCGGCGUGCCUAAUACAUGCAAGUUGAGCGAUGAAGCUUGGUGCUUGCACCAAUUUGGAGAGCAGCGAACGGGUGAGUAACGCGUGGGGAAUCUGCCUUUGAGCGGGGGACAACAUUUGGAAACGAAUGCUAAUACCGCAUAACAACUUUAAACAUAAGUUUUAAGUUUGAAAGAUGCAAUUGCAUCACUCAAAGAUGAUCCCGCGUUGUAUUAGCUAGUUGGUGAGGUAAAGGCUCACCAAGGCGAUGAUACAUAGCCGACCUGAGAGGGUGAUCGGCCACAUUGGGACUGAGACACGGCCCAAACUCCUACGGGAGGCAGCAGUAGGGAAUCUUCGGCAAUGGACGAAAGUCUGACCGAGCAACGCCGCGCGAGUGAAGAAGGUUUUCGGAUCGUAAAACUCUGUUGGUAGAGAAGAACGUUGGUGAGAGUGGAAAGCUCAUCAAGUGACGGUAACUACCCAGAAAGGGACGGCUAACUACGU
rnacentral:rRNA from 1 species